GACGAACGCUGGCGGCGUGCCUAAUACAUGCAAGUCGAACGCAGUGGGGACGGGUGAGUAACACGUGGGUAACCUCCCAUCAGAGGGGAUAACACUUGGAAACAGGUGCUAAACCGAUACUGAUGGAUGGACCCGCGGUGCAUUAGCUAGUUGGUGAGGUAACGGCUCACCAAGGCCACGAUGCAUAGCCGACAUGAGAGGGUGAUCGGCCACACUGAGAUUGAGAAACGGCCCAGACUCCUAGGGGAGGACGAGGUAGGGAAUCUACGGCAAUGGACGAAAGUCUGACCGAGAAACGCCGGGUGAGUGAAGAGGGUUUUCGGAUCGAAAACCUCUGUUGUUAGAGAAGCGGUAUCUAACCAGAAAGCCACGGCUAACUACGUGCCAGCAGCCGCGGUAAUUC
rnacentral:rRNA from 1 species